rnacentral:rRNA from 1 species
GAUGAACGCUGGCGGCGUGCCUAAUACAUGCAAGUCGAGCGAACAGACGAGGAGCUUGCUCCUCUGACGUUAGCGGCGGACGGGUGAGUAACACGUGGAUAACCUACCUAUAAGACUGGGAUAACUUCGGGAAACCGGAGCUAAUACCGGAUAAUAUAUUGAACCGCAUGGUUCAAUAGUGAAAGACGGUUUUGCUGUCACUUAUAGAUGGAUCCGCGCCGCAUUAGCUAGUUGUUAAGGUAACGGCUUACCAAGGCAACGAUGCGUAGCCGACCUGAGAGGGUGAUCGGCCACACUGGAACUGAGACACGGUCCAGACUCCUACGGGAGGCAGCAGUAGGGAAUCUUCCGCAAUGGGCGAAAGCCUGACGGAGCAACGCCGCGUGAGUGAUGAAGGUCUUCGGAUCGUAAAACUCUGUUAUUAGGGAAGAACAAAUGUGUAAGUAACUAUGCACGUCUUGACGGUACCUAAUCAGAAAGCCACGGCUAACUACGUG